AUGAGCACUGCAUGUUUUAUCACAAAGUUCCUGGAGGAUCUUGAUUCUGUCGCUUUGAGUAAGCCGGUACCAGCCAGGAAACUGCAUGCAAUUCCAAGAAACAUGCAUCCAACUACAAGGGCCAUGAGAUCGCACUGGCUCCCUCCGAUGGACUGUGAUGCCAAAAUAUAUGUCGAUGGCGACCUGUCAAGGAGCGUUUGUAUUGCCUCUUAUUGUGUCGAGGUCGUUGCCAACGUUGCGGCUGGAGCUCCUUGCCACUACACUACAAUCUUGUGCGAGAUCGACCAUCGCAAUGGCGAAGCUCAUGCCCUCACAAAAAACAAGAAGAGCAAUUUGAAUCCAGUGCAGCUGGCGGCCCUCCUCCUUAUGAUAUUGAGUGCGCCGGCAGUUAACCGCCGGGCCACGGCGAGCCCCCCACAAGACCCGGUGCAGUGCUCGUCUGGUGAUGGCAAAGCUGACUGCACGGUCUCAAGCGCGUACGGCCUGUUCCCAGACCGGUCGACGUGCCGCGCCCGCGCCGUGGUGUACCCUUCCACUGAGGAAGAGCUGGUGCGCGCGGUGGCGAACGCCACGGCCACCAAGACCAAGAUGAAGGUCACCACCAGGUACUCCCAUAGCAUGCCGAAGCUUGCAUGCCCCGGCGCCGGCGACGGCCGGGGCCUCGCCAUCAUCACCAGGUGGCUAAACCGCGUCGUGGGCGUGGAGGCGACGCGGAUGGAGAUGACGGUGGAGAGCGGAAUCACACUGCGGGAGCUCAUCGCGGCGGCUGCCGACGCCGGGCUCGCGCUGCCCUACACGACGGUCGGCGGCAUCCUCGGCACCGCGCAUGGCAGCUCGCUCUGGGGGAAAGGCAGCGCCAUCCACGAGUACGUCGUCCGGAUACGCAUUAUCACGCCCGCUCCGGCCGCCGACGGGUACGCCACGGUGCGAGUGCUCACGUCCGCCGACCCGGAGAUGGACGCCGCGAAGGUCUCGCUCGGCGUCCUUGGUGUCAUCUCGCAGAUGGUGCAUGACUACAUGGGUCAUAUGCGAAAAUGCUACAUCUACGGGAAACAUGCGUUAGACUGCAAGGGCGAUGGCGGCCCGUCAAGGAGCGGUAGCACUGAUUUGUCAAGGUCGAUGCCACCAUCGGGUCCCGAGCUCCUUGCCGUUACACUACAAUCUUGUGUGAGAUCGACCAUCGUAAUGGCGAAGCUCAUGCUCUCGCAAAAGUACCUUCCCGCCUGUCUUCCGGGUGCCACCUGUGGCUUGCAACUAUCUCCAAUAUCAUUUGGUAUCUCCAACGCCGACCCGCAAAUUCCUCCGGUAUAUAUCCAUUUUUGUGUCCAGACAUGGUCUGCGGACAUGAUACGGGAGGAGAAAAAGUAG
rnacentral:rRNA from 1 species